rnacentral:lncRNA from 1 species
CAAGAAGAUGCACUGCCAAACAGAGCUUCAGUCCCUGCGUCACAGGAGAUGGAGUUUUAGCAAUCAAGUGAAUUUUGUUUUCAUUCUGGACUGAGACAUUUCUCUAACCUGUGGAUUGUCGUUUCCUGCCUCUUCUCUUGGGCUCACUAACAGGAAGAGAAAGCUUUGGAGCAGCAACUGGGUAUUUUCUAACCCGUUCAUUAGAGUCUGUAGAAUCAACGAUUCUAAAUCCAAGAGAAUCAGGACUAUUUUCCAGUGUGUUAUCAGCAUUCUUUCUUCCUCUUCGUCGUCUUCGAGGACUGAGUAACUCCACAAAUACGUCUGCUUGUAAUGAACUUUGGCUCUGACGAGUGGUCCGGCUGCUAAGUCUUAAAGUAGGUUUUGUCACUGAUGGAGGGGCUGAUUUUACCUUCCUUAACCCCCUUCUGGUCACUCUAGAUGAAGAUCCUGCUUGCUUAGGUGUAUUUUGCUGACUCCGGGAAGCGUAUCUUGCCUGACGCUGGAUGUUCCGACUUGAAAAAGGAUUGUUGAGUUUGGCUGCUCUCAUUUUUAAUGGGAACUUGACCUGUGGUCUUCCGUGCUUUGAAGGGCUCAUGUCUUCUUCCUCCUGAGAUUCAUCUUCCUCUUCAUGUUCUUCUUCAUAAUCCUCUUCCUCACUUUGUCUCAUUUCAUCGUAGCUUGCCUCUUCCUCCCCUUCUAUUCGCUCAGCCAUCUCUUCAUCACUUUCCACAGAUGGUCUCUGUCUGGAGGAAAGGCGUCUAGAGCGCUGCUUUGGUCGGCACUCCGGACAAAACCAGUCUCCUUCAGGAAUGAUCUUAAGCUUGGGCCUGAUACAGUAGGUAUGAUAGCCUCGAUCACAGCCAUCACACAGCACCAUGCUUUCUGCAUCACCUUUCUUUCGACAUACUUUACAGCGGGCGUUGAGGAUGGACUUUGACCAGAUGACACUUCGAUCCAAUGUAGACAGAUGAAGGAAGACUUGAGACAAGCUGGUAGAAGAAAGAAGUGACUCCCUCCAGCGAUCCAAAACUGUUUUGUAGGAUCGUCCACCAUCGCUGGCAUCAAGAGGUGCUUUGAGAAACCUGCGCUCAAUUCCUUGCUCUAUCUGGAGCAGUGCAGAUGCUAAGCAGUGGACCACAUUAUUAACUGGCUGAGGAGUACUUGUACUUGUUGAUGCAGCACUUGGAGCUUCAGUUUUCAAUCCAAUGAGUCGGUCUUUAACAAUGAACUUAUCUUGAUCAUCAGUUUCCAUUUCUUCAGAUUCUUCAUUCACAGUUUUAAUUAUACCAUUUUCUUUAUUUUCAUCAUUUAGAAAUUCAUACCGCCCAUGUUCU